rnacentral:rRNA from 1 species
UACGACGGGGGCUAGCGUUGUUCGGAAUUACUGGGCGUAAAGCGCACGUAGGCGGAUCGAUCAGUCAGGGGUGAAAUCCCAGAGCUCAACUCUGGAACUGCCUUUGAUACUGUCGAUCUAGAGUAUGGAAGAGGUGAGUGGAAUUCCGAGUGUAGAGGUGAAAUUCGUAGAUAUUCGGAGGAACACCAGUGGCGAAGGCGGCUCACUGGUCCAUUACUGACGCUGAGGUGCGAAAGCGUGGGGAGCAAACAGG